rnacentral:rRNA from 1 species
GAUGAACGCUAGCUACAGGCUUAACACAUGCAAGUCGAGGGACCGGCGCACGGGUGAGUAACACGUAUCCAACCUGCCCUUUACUCGGGGAUAGCCUUUCGAACGAAAGAUUAAUACCCGAUAUAACGGAUGGGGAUGCGUUCCAUUAGGUUGUGGGUGAGGUAACGGCUAACCAAGCCUUCGAUGGAUAGGGGUUCGGAGAGGAAGGUCCCCUACAUUGGAACGUAAACACGGGCCAAAAUCCUACGGGAGGAAGCAGUGAGGAAGAUUGGUCAAUGGGCGCUAGCCUGAACCAGCCAAGUAGCGUGAAGGAUGAAGGAUUAUGGGUCGUAAACUUCUUUUAUAUAAGAAUAUGUAUUAUAGGAAUAAGGAUCGGCUAACUCCGUGCCAGCAGCCGCGGUAAUAC